rnacentral:rRNA from 1 species
AUUGAACGCUGGCGGCAUGCCUUACACAUGCAAGUCGAACGGCAGCACGGGUGCUUGCACCUGGUGGCGAGUGGCGAACGGGUGAGUAAUACAUCGGAACAUGUCCUGUAGUGGGGGAUAGCCCGGCGAAAGCCGGAUUAAUACCGCAUACGAUCUACGGAUGAAAGCGGGGGACCUUCGGGCCUCGCGCUAUGGGGUUGGCCGAUGGCUGAUUAGCUAGUUGGUGGGGUAAAGGCCUACCAAGGCGACGAUCAGUAGCUGGUCUGAGAGGACGACCAGCCACACUGGGACUGAGACACGGCCCAGACUCCUACGGGGGGCAGCAGUGGGGAAUUUUGGACAAUGGGCGAAAGCCUGAUCCAGCAAUGCCGCGUGUGUGAAGAAGGCCUUCGGGUUGUAAAGCACUUUUGUCCGGAAAGAAAUCCUUGGCCCUAAUACGGUCGGGGGAUGACGGUACCGGAAGAAUAAGCACCGGCUAACUACGUG